GUCAUGGUCUUUUGGAAGAGAGGAGAGAAAGGAUGGAGAGAGCUCACUAUAGAGAAGGGGAUGGUCAGGUAUAAAAGUAGACCUAAUAGACCUAGGAAGGAGCUGCUCUUCAAAGGCUUCACUGCCCACUCACUCCCUAGAGCAACUGUCUGUGGCUUAUUAUCUUCUCUCUUACUAGUGAAGAAACUGUGAGGCUCGGAGAGGUGAAGUAACUUUUUUCACAGUCCAGUCAAAAUUCAGUCCCUGCCCCAUGUGACUCCUCAGCCAAAUUCUUGCCACGCCUAGGCUUCCCAGGCACCCGGCUAGUUUAUGUGAGUGAAUGCAGCUAAGGAUGCUUUAAAACAGCUAAAUUUAUCUGCCCCUCCCUAGCUUCAC
rnacentral:lncRNA from 1 species